UACGUAGGGUGCGAGCGUUAAUCGGAAUUACUGGGCGUAAAGCGUGCGCAGGCGGUUUUGUAAGACAGGCGUGAAAUCCCCGGGCUCAACCUGGGAACUGCGCUUGUGACUGCAAGGCUAGAGUACGGCAGAGGGGGGUGGAAUUCCACGUGUAGCAGUGAAAUGCGUAGAGAUGUGGAGGAACACCAAUGGCGAAGGCAGCCCCUGGGUCGAUACUGACGCUCAUGUCGAAACGAACG
rnacentral:rRNA from 1 species